AGCACCGGCUAACUACGUGCCAGCAGCCGCGGUAAUACGUAGGGUGCAAGCGUUAUCCGGAAUUAUUGGGCGUAAAGGGCUCGUAGGCGGUUCGUCGCGUCCGGUGUGAAAGUCCAUCGCUUAACGGUGGAUCCGCGCCGGGUACGGGCGGGCUUGAGUGCGGUAGGGGAGACUGGAAUUCCCGGUGUAACGGUGGAAUGUGUAGAUAUCGGGAAGAACACCAAUGGCGAAGGCAGGUCUCUGGGCCGUUACUGACGCUGAGGAGCGAAAGCGUGGGGAGCGAACAGGAUUAGAUACCCUGGUAGUCCACGCCGUAAACGGUGGAUGCUGGAUGUGGGGCCCGUUCCACGGGUUCCGUGUCGGAGCUAACGCGUUAAGCAUCCCGCCUGGGGAGUACGGCCGCAAGGCUAAAACUCAAAGAAAUUGACGGGGGCCCGCACAAGCGGCGGAGCAUGCGGAUUAAUUCGAUGCAACGCGAAGAACCUUACCUGGGCUUGACAUGUUCCCGACGGUCGUAGAGAUGCGGCUUCCCUUCGGGGCGGGUUCACAGGUGGUGCAUGGUCGUCGUCAGCUCGUGUCGUGAGAUGUUGGGUUAAGUCCCGCAACGAGCGCAACCCUCGCCCCGUGUUGCCAGCGGAUUAUGCCGGGAACUCACGGGGGACCGCCGGGGUUAACUCGGAGGAAGGUGGGGAUGACGUCAGAUCAUCAUGCCCCUUACGUCCAGGGCUUCACGCAUGCUACAAUGGCCGGUACAACGGGAUGCGACGCGGCGACGCGGAGCGGAUCCCUGAAAACCGGUCUCAGUUCGGAUCGCAGUCUGCAACUCGACUGCGUGAAGGCGGAGUCGCUAGUAAUCGCGAAUCAGCAACGUCGCGGUGAAUGCGUUCCCGGGCCUUGUACACACCGCCCGUCAAGUCAUGAAAGUGGGUAGCACCCGAAGCCGGUGGCCCAACCUUUUGGGGGGAGCCGUCUAAGGUGAGACUCGUGAUUGGGACUAAGUCGUAACAAGGUAGCCGUACCGGAAGGUGCGGCUG
rnacentral:rRNA from 1 species